rnacentral:rRNA from 1 species
AUUGAACGCUGGCGGCAUGCUUUACACAUGCAAGUCGAACGGCAGCGCGGGCUUCGGCCUGGCGGCGAGUGGCGAACGGGUGAGUAAUGCAUCGGAAAGUGCCCAGUAGUGGGGGAUAGCCCGGCGAAAGCCGGAUUAAUACCGCAUACGACCUGAGGGUGAAAGCGGGGGACCGAAAGGCCUCGCGCUAUUGGAGCGGCCGAUGUCGGAUUAGCUAGUUGGUGGGGUAAAGGCUUACCAAGGCGACGAUCCGUAGCUGGUCUGAGAGGACGACCAGCCACACUGGGACUGAGACACGGCCCAGACUCCUACGGGAGGCAGCAGUGGGGAAUUUUGGACAAGGGGGGCAACCCUGAUCCAGCCAUGCCGCGUGCGGGAAGAAGGCCUUCGGGUUGUAAACCGCUUUUGUUCGGGAAGAAAUCCUCUGGGCUAAUACCCCGGGGGGAUGACGGUACCGGAAGAAUAAGCACCGGCUAACUACGU